UACGGGGGGGGCAAGCGUUGUUCGGAAUUACUGGGCGUAAAGGGCUCGUAGGCUGCCAACUAAGUCAGACGUGAAAUCCCUCGGCUUAACCGGGGAACUGCAUCUGAUACUGGAUGGCUUGAGUGUGGGAGAGGGAUGCGGAAUUCCAGGUGUAGCGGUGAAAUGCGUAGAUAUCUGGAGGAACACCGGUGGCGAAGGCGGCAUCCUGGACCAUUACUGACACUGAAUAGCGAAAGCCAGGGGAGCAAACGGG
rnacentral:rRNA from 1 species